ensembl:lncRNA LINC01138 long intergenic non-protein coding RNA 1138
UUUAGAGCCUGCACAGUUGUUCUAAAAAAGGCGGUGGCUCCUCCUAACGUUGGAUGGGCUCUUGCUCUGCAUGGUGAUACCAGAAAGCAUGCCAUACCUAAGACCUACUACCCUGAGAAGCAGUGAAGUGCUCCUGGGGCCCACCAAGGCCACACAAGUCAAGGAGUGGAUGGCCUUGCUCCAGCUACUGCUCAGAUCACCUUUGCAAGAUGACAUUGUGUUGGGAGAUGGUCAUCAGAGCCAGGGCCAUGGAAGAUGCUGUCAGGAGGCACGAGGAAAGGCUAUGGGAGCACAAAGCAAGAAAGUGGCCUUCUGCAAGCCAGGAAGAGAGGCCUCCCCAGAAACCAACUCUGUGAGCUCAUCGAUCUUUGACUUUUGGCCUCCAGAACAUUGAGAAAAUAAAAGUCUGUUGUUAAACCA